rnacentral:rRNA from 1 species
CAAGUCGAGCGAUGAAGCUCCGUCGGGAGUGGACUAGCGGCGGACGGGUGAGUAACACGUGGGUAACCUGCCCCCAUAGAGGGGAAUAGCCUUUCGAAAGGAAGAUUAAUACCGCAUAUGGUAGCUUUAUCGCAUGGUAAUGCUAUUAAAGGAGUAAUCCGCUAUGAGAUGGACCCGCGUCGCAUUAGCUAGUUGGUGAGGUAACGGCUCACCAAGGCGACGAUGCGUAGCCGACCUGAGAGGGUGAUCGGCCACAUUGGGACUGAGACACGGCCCAGACUCCUACGGGAGGCAGCAGUGGGGAGUAUUGCACAAUGGGGGGAAAAACCCCCUGAUGCAGCAACGCCGCGUGAGUGAUGACGGCCUUCGGGUUGUAAAACUCUGUCUUUGGGGACGAUAAUGACGGUACCCAAGGAGGAAGCCACGGCUAACUACGUGCCAGCCGCGGC